GUCUGUUUUAUCUGUGUUAUAUGAAGUUACAGAUGAUGUUUCUGAAUCUAAGGAUUCUUCAUCAAAUCCAAAAAAUGUCUCCACAACAUGCCUCUUUUGAGGCUUCAGAAUUUUCUUCUUCUGCUUUUUAGAUCGCAAUAGUCGUUCCCUUUCCACUGUGAGAUCAUCAAUAACAUGCUGCUUUUCUUUGACUUGCAGUCGAAGAAAUUCAAUUUCUU
rnacentral:lncRNA from 1 species